UACGUAGGGGGCAAGCGUUGUCCGGAAUCAUUGGGCGUAAAGCGCGCGUAGGCGGCUCAGUAAGUCCGCUCUGAAAGCUUGGGGCUUAACCCCAAGAGGCGGGCGGAUACUGCUGGGCUCGAGUCCGGAAGAGGCGAGUGGAAUUCCUGGUGUAGCGGUGAAAUGCGCAGAUAUCAGGAGGAACACCGGUGGCGAAGGCGGGUCUCUGGGCCGAUACUGACGCUGGAGGAGCGAAAGCGUGGGGAGCGAACAGG
rnacentral:rRNA from 1 species